UAAUUUAGGUAAUCGCUGCAACGCUUGACGUUGUAGAGGAAAGUCCAUGCUCACACGGCUCUGAGAUGACCGUAGUGUUCGUGCUCGGCGAAAGAAUAAGCCGUGGCUUCGCGCUUGCGCGUAGACGGCGGGAAUAAGUCCUAAGUUUGAGAAGGUUUACCUUGUUGAAUAUGGAUUAGGUUCCCUGAACAGUGCCACAGUGACGUAGUCGGCUCGGAAACGGGUCGAAUGGAACGCGGUAAACCCCACGAGUGAGAAACCCAAAUUAUGGUAGGGGCAUUCUUCUGAAGGAAAUGAACUGAUGAAGGAACAGACGCUUGUCUGUAGAUAGAUGAUUACCACCCUAAGUACGAGGCGUAAGCCGUUUGAGUACUCGGGAACAAAACAUGGCUUAUCGAA
rnacentral:RNase_P_RNA from 1 species